UACGUAGGGGGCAAGCGUUGUCCGGAAUCACUGGGCGUAAAGGGCGCGUAGGCGGCGCGGUAAGCGUGCGGUGAAAGCCCGGGGCUCAACCCCGGGUCGGCCGUGCGGACUGCCGGGCUGGAGCACUGUAGAGGCAGGUGGAAUUCCGGGUGUAGCGGUGGAAUGCGUAGAGAUCCGGAAGAACACCGGUGGCGAAGGCGGCCUGCUGGGCAGUAGCUGACGCUGAAGCGCGACAGCGUGGGGAGCAAACAGG
rnacentral:rRNA from 1 species